UCUUAUCCCUUAACCGCCUAUAAAAGUUCAAAUUACUAGUCCUACUGCUGCUGAUCUAAUACUAGUAGAAGAAGUUGAAAUUGACCAUUUCUUGUUUUCCUAUUGCCAAAUAAAAUAAAAAGGUUAAGAUUGACCUAUUCUUCUUCUAACCCUUUUUUGUCCAUUAUGAUAUGCAUGAAAAUUUAAAUAACUUUCUUCACAUAUUUUUCCUCAAAGUGUACUUCAUAUCUUCCUUCCUUUAGUUACAUACUCCACUCUUUCCUCCUCCACCCUUCUCUUAAUCACAGGAUAGAAUGCUUGUUCAUCAUCAACGGCGGCAUCGCGGCGGCGGCGCUAUAUGCAUGAUAGUGAUUAUUUUGGCCAGCAUUGUUUCACAAGUAUUCGGAGGGCGCAGUAGAUAUUAUGAGGUUGUCACAUAUCAUGCUACUUAUAGACAUGAACAACAAGGAAGCACCAGGUCAAAUGUUGAUCAGAUUAACAUUGCCAACUACAAUACUAGUAGUAGUAGAACUACUACUAGUACUUCUCAUCAUUCUGAAGGUUUUGUAGCAAAUAGUAAAAGAGUUGUUCCUACUGGUCCUGAUCCUUUACAUAACAGUCGUCAAUUAGAUGACCAUUAUUACCACAAAAAUUGCAAAUUAGAUAUUCAGGAAGGCCCACGUAUUUUCUCUUUCGAAAGUCUCUUUCGAAGGUUCUGGCACUGAGCCUGGCACUGGGUUGCUGAGAAGAUCAGACGUAGAUGGCUCCAUAGCAAAGGACACAACACAACUCAUUUUGUGUGCUCUUCUUCACUCAUUGAUGAAUGAUUGAUAUUUCAUGUGGUACAAAUUCAUGUUGGGCUUUGAAAACGACCACUUCAGUACUUUUCACGGCUAUUAUUUGUCAAUUUAGUGCAACCACGAUCAUUUGACUUAGCAAUUCUACUUUUUCUUUUAGUGCUUGUAAGAUUAAGGUCAUGUUACAUAUCCCAUACUAGUGCUUAGUUACUGUAAUACUAUAGUAGCAAAUUAGUCAUUUACAGCUAGAUCAUUGAAAAUGACACCAUUUGUCUUACACUUAAUUCAUCAUUAACGUUGUAAGCUUUGUGUUACUAGGAUGAGUUAUUGUGUAUUGUUGCCUUCUAUGGCCUAAGGUAGACAGGGAGUCUGAUAGACGACAGUUUAAUUCUGUAUAUUGAGAUCUACACAAUAUUCCGAAUCUAAUAGAUCACUAGUUCGAAUUUCGAUUGGGACAAGUUUGAUUUGAGGUAAAACUCUCCCAACAAGUGUUUGGUGCUUUCUUCGGGCUCAUACACAAGCCUAGAUGACUCUAUUGCCUCCUUCAAGCACUGUCAACAUGUCAGCAGUUUGAGUUUGUUUAUCUCCAACUUAUGAACUUAGCUGGUAGAAGCUAUAUAAUACAAAGAUUUGAUUAUGGGAACAAGGGAAGUUUAAGUUGAUGAGGUGAAAUAAUUAGAAGAGUAAAGACAACAAUUUUUUACCAAUGAUUUCACGUCAUAAGUAUUACUUGUUUUGUGAUUGUUUUUACUUUCCAGAGCAAGUUCAUGUAGGAAUCCUGCUGGUAAAACGCAAAAUAUACAGCAAGUUUACACAGAACACUGUAACAGUUCAUAUAUAUAGUACAGAAUAAAGUUUCUUCAUCGA